UUACCUACUUGAAGUAGCUAGAAUUUAAUGUGCUAUUUUCUUUAUAUGAGAUGAAAGUAGAAGUUUUUGGCAAUGUUAUUGUUAUGCAUCAAUACAAAGUAGUAGCCCUGAAGUAGUCACUUCUUGUAAGGGUCUAGUGCUACACAAUUUUUACAAGGGCUGCUGUGCAAUUGAUCAGCUCAGUAAUGAACCAAACCAAAAAACAAAAUGGAAAUAACGUUAACCGAAUUGAACUGAGCUAGGGGUUGAACCGAACCCAAUUCGGUUGGGGCCCGAUUUGGGCAUGCAAUCUAGCUAUUACACAAGCAUUAUUGUCUAGUUAUCAUCAAUAACAAAAUAUGUGCUGGUUCUUGUUAACUGAUUUAAGUGUUCAUUGGUGACCUUCCAGAGCAGCAAUAGUAUUUAAAAGAUGUUUUGAAACAAAAUUAAGUGAGCACAUCCAUAAUUAAGGGCAAGGUAAUGUAAUAAAAUUCUUUCGGAGCUCAACUAAAAUUAAUUUGAAUGAUAAUUUUGUUUUAAUGAAAAAUGAGAAUUGCAUAAAUUGCCAAAUUGAGCUAGUGAGAGUACUGGUACCCAAGGUUAACAAUAUCAGCAGACCUCCUCAAUGGAAGUGGAUUGAAGUAUCAAUGGAUAAAAUGGAAUUGGCAAGA
rnacentral:misc_RNA from 1 species